GAGUUGGAUCAUGGCUCAAAGAUCAACGCUGGCGGCGUGCCUCAGACAUGCAAGUCGAACGAUUAAAGUUCUCUUCGGAGAGUGUAUAGAGUGGCGCACGGGUGAGUAACACGUAAGUAAUCUACCCUCGAGUGGGGAAUAACAUCGGGAAACCGAUGCUAAUACCGCAUAACGCAGCGGCACCGCACGGUGACAGUUGUUAAAGGAGUAAUUCGCUUGAGGAGGAGCUUGCGGCAGAUUAGCUAGUUGGUAAGGUAACGGCUUACCAAGGCUACGAUCUGUAUCCGGUCUAAGAGGACGGUCGGACACACUGACACUGAAUAACGGGUCAGACUCCUACGGGAGGCAGCAGUCGGGAAUUUUGGGCAAUGGGCGAAAGCCUGACCCAGCAACGCCGCGUGAAGGAUGAAGUAUUUCGGUAUGUAAACUUCGAAAGAAUGGGAAGAAUAAAUGACGGUACCAUUUAUAAGCUCCGGCUAACUACGUGCCAGCAGCCGCGGUAAUACGUAGGGAGCAAGCGUUGUUCGGAUUUACUGGGCGUAAAGGGCGCGUAGGCGGCGCGGUAAGUCACUUGUGAAAUCUCUGAGCUUAACUCAGAACGGCCAAGUGAUACUGCAGUGCUAGAGUGCAGAAGGGCAAUCGGAAUUCUUGGUGUAGCGGUGAAAUGCGUAGAUAU
rnacentral:rRNA from 1 species